GUGCCCAGUAAGAGGCCAGGUAGGAGCGCCGGUCCCGCGCUCGGCGAGUGAGGGCUGUUCCCGUCUUGGCGGAGCACAAGCAGGAGGUGCAUCAGGCAGAGGGAGAAGCAGGCUCCCAGCUGAGCCAGGAGCCCAAUACGGAACUCAACUCCAGGACCCUGGGAUGAUGACCUGAGCCAAAGGCAGAUACUUAACCAACUGAGCCACCCAGGCACCCAAUCCCCCCUCCUCUUCAUGUCAAAAUGUUAAGGGUGGCUUUUAGAAAAGUCUAAUAAAAUCUGACAUGUA